rnacentral:lncRNA from 1 species
GUCAUCUGGUCGAUGGUUGGGGCGCAGACCACCGAACAGGGUGACUGCUCGAGAUUCCAGGACAACAUCCCCCACAGCUGCAAGAAAGAUCCCGUGGUCGUCGAUUUACUUCCGGACGCUCCAUACGACAUGCAGAUCGCCAAUUGCUGCAAAGCAGGGGUGAUAAGUACGUUCAAUCAGGACCCGGCAAAUUCUGUUGCCUCCUUCCAGCUCAGUGUAGGUCUUUCUGAGACUACCACUAAGGCCGUUAGGGUGCCAAGGAACUUCACUCUUAAGACUCCAGGUCCUGGGUACACAUGUGGGCGUGCCAUUGUUGGCAGGCCGACAAGGUUUUUCACCCCGGAUGGGCGCAGGGCAACCCAAGCUCUUAGUAAGUUGCUCAUCUAUUGGACUUUACAUUUUGCUUGCCAUCAGUUGCUUCUAAAAUUGUAGAAAUUAGUUACAAGGUAAACCAUAGUAGCCCUUCUUUUAAGUUUUAAUCAUGAUUGCGAGAAAAUUGGCGUCACAGCACUGUUGUAUACAAGUGAAAAUGCAAGAGGCAUUGCUCUGAAAUGGGCAAAGGUUCACGAGGAGUUUUUUUUUUUACGACAGGUUACUGCUAGGUUCCACGGAUUGUCUCCGUUUCAGUUAAUUUUCUCUCUAGUAAAUAAUGUAUUUUAAAUCCAUAGAAUCAUCAUAAGGUUCCACACAAGUUGUGUUGCAUAAGUUUUAUUUCAGUGGAGUUUAUUAACUUGAUGUGUUUUAACACAGACAUUUUAUAUCUACAGUGACAUGGAAUGUUACUUGCACCUAUUCUCAGUUUCUUGCUCAGAAGACUCCAUCCUGCUGUGUAUCUCUCUCAUCCUCCUACAACAGCACAACCGUGGACUGCCCAACAUGCUCUUGUGGCUGCCAAAACCCAAAAGGGACAAACUGUGUGAAGUGAGUCGACUGUUUAUUUCUACUCUUAAAUCUUUGUAUUCUCCCUGAUGUUAACAUUCCAUUCUUUUUCUCUGCAAAUGUUCUAAUAAUAAGUUGGUGCAUUUCACAGUAAGGAUUCACCUCAUCUACCAUCUGCCAUUGACGGCCCUGGCAAAUGGACUGGCCAGCCUCUCGUCGAGUGCACUUCCCACAUGUGCCCGGUAAGAAUCAACUGGCACGUGAAGCAGAACUUCAAGGACUACUGGAGGGUGAAGAUCACCAUCACAAACUUCAACUUCCGCAUGAACUACACGGAGUGGAACUUAGCCGUUCAGCAUCCAAACUUGGACAAUAUCACCCAGCUGUUCGGCCUCAACUACAAACCAUUGACCCCAUACGGCGCCGGCAUAAGUAAGCAAACAUUGAUAGCCUUUCAUAGAAAGAUUAUGAACCUUCCCCUUUUUUAUCUUUCUGAUGUAGUUUUUCUUGGACCCUUUUCAGAUGACACGGCAAUGCUCUGGGGUGUAAAACCCUACAACGAUGUGCUGAUGCAAGCCGGCAAUAAGAUUGGGAGUGUGCAGGGCGAACUGCUUCUCCGCAAGGACUCCCAGACUUUCACCUUCGGAAAGGGAUGGGCCUUCCCACGCCGUGUGUACUUGAACGGCGAUAACUGUGUCAUGCCAGCUCCUGAAAAUUAUCCGUCGUUGCCGAAAGAACCAUCCGGGUGACCAUGGUUGAUUGUCAUUUCCACAGAAUAAACGUUAUGAGCAGGCUUGAUCGCAUAGAUCGUUUGUACUUAGAAAAUGAAAGGCUACUGCUGGCUGCGCCAGAACUCGGUGGCCUACGGGUUAUGAUUUACGCUGUGACUUGAAUAAGUGAUGAGUUCAUCAUCGAUUAACCAGCUGCAGCAGGAAGUUUGAUGAUGUGAAUCUGUGUGGUUGGAUGAUUGGAUCGAUGGAUGCAAAGCCAUCUCUUGGGCCCAAAGGUAAACAAACCGAGUGGUCGUUCUUGGGCUCUGUUGCCAGCCCACACCUUCUUGCCACCAUCCCGCACAGCUACUGCCUCAGAAGCCAUCAGAACAUCUUCCAGGUGAUCAUACCAUUGGGCCCGAGCACAGAUCAGCUCGCCAUGCUCGUCUCUCACCACAGCACCUGUAGCAGCUCCAUUUCCUCUCUCCCUGUAGAAAGCCGCAUCUGCAUUAAUUUUGACUGCACCCGGUGUUGGCUUUUUCCAGGAGACUCUAGUUCUAGUGACCUGCAUAGGUUUCUGAUGUAUCUGCAACAGGUCCUCAAUCAUUUUGGUUGCAUAAUGCGCCGCAGCAUAAGGGCUCCACGCUGGCUUACCAUGUUGUCUUGCAUUUCUACCAGUCCAAAGUGACCAGCAUCCGCACAUGUAGAGAGUCAGCUCCUCCUCCGAGCAUACACCUCCCACCAGCAGGUCCUUCGCCCAAGUGAGAGGAUGCAGCAUUGGCAUCUUCCUGCCCGUCAUCCCUUUGAUGCACUCCCACUCCCAGAAACGUAGUGCAUAUGUGCACUCAAACAUCGAAUGACAAACCGCCUCCGAUGAAUGGCCACAGUCUGCACAAAAACUUUCCCUCGCAACGUGACGUCGGUGCAAGACUGCCUUUGCCUAGCUAAGCUGUCCACAUUCCCCCGGCAUUCCUUCCACUAGCUGCCAUGCGGACCCCACCGCGGAUCGGUUUUCCCAGCUACAAGCUCCACUCAUUCCAUGCUUCCGUUGGGAAAGAAAUGCAACACAUGGAGGUUGUUAGAGGAGCCGGGCUAUAGACUAGUACAGCUGGAGAUCUUGACGCCGAUACCGAUUAGUUAAUUAAUUAAGCGCAAAAAUCAAUUAAUAAUUUAAAUUAAUCUCGCAUGGUUCGCCACGGGUUGUUGGUACGUCCAGGUUGCAGCACCUACCGCCGCGAUAGCGAUGGGGUCUACAGCGUUGGUUGGUGGACCGGGCUCACGGUCGCGCUCGGCCCCUCGUCCCCUGGCCUGCUGCAAUUUGCGUGGCGCACCGCUGGUGAUCAGUGGGAAGUGGCGCUGCUCUUUUCUUUUCUUUUUUUUGUUUUCGUUUUCGCCCUCCACCGACAGAAAGAGGGAGGAGGGGCUCUGUCGUGCCCGCGUUUCUUUAUUCCCUCCAGUGUCGGCUCGCAUGUGUGCGUUUAGCCUCGCCUCAUGGGGGUGGUCAUCGCCCUCUGUCAUUACUUAAUCCCACUCGUAAAGCUUCGCACUGAUUGGUCGUUCCGGUUUUGCCCCUGGCGACUGGGACUCUCAGGCUGCAGCAGCUGACUGAACACUCUUUCACAGUUCACAUGAACACGAUGGUGAUCUUCUGUGCCCAAUUCUGGCUUUACCUCCAGAGAACUUGACAUGGUAUCUUUUAGAAGUAAUCUAGUGUCAACUAAAUAUAGGGAUUUGAAUCCUUUCCCGCUAUCAAAAGCAUGAUAUUUGAAUUUUGUUUUAUAGUAACCGACAAUGGGAAUGCUUCUGCUGGAUUCAAACUUCUGUAUUCUCCAUGAUGUUUGUUUGAACGAAAGGAGCACGAGAGUGUGCCUAUUUCAUUGAUAAAGAUGGGGUUACAUCUGCUAAACCGGAAAUAAAAACGAAAGGAAAAAAAGCGUUAUACUUCCUCCACUAUGUUUUGCACCACUCCAAUUUAUUAUGCAGUUAAUUGAACAAUAAAAGCGGCAAUAAGGAUCGACUUUUUCAUCAGCCUCUUGUGUAUCGCUGUUCCCGUGCAAAGUCCCUGAAGCGCUAGAUUUUCAGCUUUCACUUACCGUUAAUCACCUGUCCGGGCUGUCCCUGUCCCCAAGCGAACAUCACCAACAGCUGUGCAUCACCAGAGGGGCAUUCCGGUAAAUGUCCGCCGGAGGUUGAGGCGUCCACAUCUACUCCCCUCGCGGCAAGAAACGUCCCCGAUAUAACCCCACCCGCACCGAGGCGCGGAAGGAAGCAGCCGCUGCGGAGCAGAGUGUGUCGUGCUGGCUGCCGUCGCAGUAAAAACAGGGGAGGGGAGACGAGGACGCGGCCGCUGCCUGCCGCACAUGCUUUAAGUCCCACUCCCCACCGCCCCAGAUCUCCGCCUCUCUUCCCACCUCCCCACAUUCCCCGGCGCCCCCCUCCCCGCGCGGCCGCAACCGCCGCCGCUGUCAGGAGCGAGAUCGGCGGGGCAGACGGGCGCGGCGCUUGUAUCUGUCGGUGGGAGAGACCCGCGGUGUCGGUGAGGAGGCGGGUGGGAAGGAAGUGAAGGUAGGAAGGAUGGCAGCGGGCGGCAGAUCCGUAGCGUACUGCGCCGCCGUGCUGCUCGCGGCCGCGCUGCUCCUCUCCGCACCGACUGGCACAGGUUCGGCACCUCGGCUCCUCCUCUUCCUCUCUGUGUAUGUCGUCCUGCUUGUGCCGCGAAUUCGCGAGCUAGGUAGAUCCGGCGCCCGAUCGCCGUCGCGUCUGAUGCAACGGGAGCUCGGAGAGCUGCGAUGAUGAUUCCGCUCCCGGUGUCCGUUGCGCGCUGACAAAUGCGGCCCCGUUUGGCUGGUACGGUCAGUGUCGGUGGCUCCAGUGCAGUGUCGGUGUCUUCUAAUUUUGAUCCCACCGUUCUCCAAUUCAGCUCGAUCCUUCGAGCUUUCUCGGUUGCUCCAAUUAUGAUUCGAAAUUAAGUUGGCUUAGCUUCUCGGGAUCGGGAGAGUAGCACACAUGGAGAUGGAGCUGCCCUCUCAGGCUAACCACUUAACCAGGGCCACUGUCAGCUGAAUCUUGUCCUGAGCUGCUCCAUACUGAGCACCUUGAUGAUAGAUCUGUUGAAGAAGUGAUCAAAUUAGUCAAGAUCUUAGUUAAUUCUAGUUCACUUUAAAGGGAUCCAGUGGCAAACUUAGGUGUGUGGAUCUUCCAACUUGGAAUGGGAUGUAACAUAGACUUCAUCUACUGUGCCAAUUCAUUGUUCUUGCUUCUGUAAUUGGGAUCUGUGUUUGAUGUGGACCCUUUGUUGCUCCUGCAGAGGCUUAUGAUUCCUUGGAUCCAAAUGGCAACAUCACUAUAAAAUGGGAUAUUAUGCAGUGGACUCCUGAUGGAUAUGUCGUAAGUAGCAUGCCCACUCCAACAGCUGCAUCUCUUUCAUCUUCAACCUUGUAGGACCUUAUAUAUUCUAUUGAAUGUUCCGGUUUGACCUGUACAAUAUAUGUAAAAUGGCCAAUGGCUAGAGUAGAAAGCUACAUCACAGAAACAAGAAUAACAUGCAAAAUUUAUGUCAGCAGCAUGCUACGCAUACCCAAUUCAUGAUUUCCCAUAAAAUCUCUCCUGCAGGCUGUUGUCACAAUGUUCAACUACCAACAAUUCCGGCACAUUGGGGCACCUGGGUGGCAGCUUGGGUGGACAUGGGCAAAGAAGGAGGUCAUAUGGUCGAUGGUUGGGGCACAGACUACCGAACAGGGUGACUGUUCGAAGUUCAAGGGCAACACUCCCCACUGCUGCAAAAAAGAUCCCACGAUCGUCGAUUUACUUCCAGGCACUCCAUACAACAUGCAGAUUGCCAAUUGCUGCAAAGCAGGAGUUAUAAAUACAUUUAACCAGGACCCGGCAAAUGCUGCUGCCUCCUUCCAGAUUAGUGUAGGUCUUGCUGGGACUACCAAUAAGACUGUUAAGGUGCCGAAGAACUUCACUCUUAAGACUCCAGGUCCUGGGUACACAUGUGGGCGUGCCAUUGUUGGCAGGCCGACAAAGUUUUUCACCUCGGAUGGGCGCAGGGCAACCCAAGCUCUUAGUAAGUUGCUCAUCUAUUGGACUCUACAUUUUACUUGCUAUCAGUUGCUUGUGUACUUUGUGGAAAUGAGGUACAGCUAAAUCAUCGUAUUGUUCAGCGCGUUCCUAUUCCUUAAUCAGAAUUUCAGGUUACGUUACUUGCCAGAUUAGUUUUUUUCUCGAACAUGCAGGAGAGCUGCGUAUCUAUAUAUUAAGAAGUACUUGCCAGAUUAGUAAAAAAAUGAAAACGUUUUAACAGGAGGGAUUUAUUCUCAAAGAAGGAAUGCUAACUGAUAUCUUUGGACAAUAAGCUGCUGCUAGGCCCAAUAAAAUGUAGUCUUUUUUUUUGUUCUUCACAAAAUAAUAAAUUAAAAUUGCAGAUAGUUGUAGGAAAGUUUCCGAUUCCAUACAAGUUGCUGUUCUGCCAAAAUUUUAUUGUAGAGGUUUUUAUUUCACUUGAUGGUUCUUAAUAAAGACAUUCUCUAUCUGCAGUGACAUGGAAUGUGACUUGCACAUAUUCCCAAUUUCUUGCUCAAAAGACUCCAUCCUGCUGUGUCUCUCUUUCAUCAUUUUACAAUGACACAAUUGUGAACUGCCCAACAUGCUCUUGUGGCUGCCAAAAUCCAAAUGGGUCAAACUGUGUGAAGUGAGUUUACGUACUUUUUACUCUUAAUACACUUCAUACUAAGGUUCUAUUUUGUCUUUAUAAAUGUCUAAUGAGUAUGGUUUCAUUUUCACAGUGAGGAUUCACCUAAUCUACAAUCUGCAAUUGAUGGCCCUGGAAAAUGGACUGGUCAGCCUCUUGUACAAUGCACUUCCCACAUGUGCCCGAUAAGAAUCCACUGGCAUGUGAAGCUCAACUACAAGGAAUACUGGAGAGUGAAAAUCACUAUCACCAACUUCAACUUCCGCAUGAAUUACACGCAGUGGAACUUAGUCGCUCAGCAUCCAAACUUUGAUAAUAUCACUCAGCUGUUCAGCUUCAACUACAAACCACUUACCCCAUAUGGCAGUGGCAUAAGUAAGAAACUUGUCUUCUUUUCAAAAAAAGAAAUCAAAAUAAUCUCCUUCCCUCCCCUGAUGUUGUUUGCUUGUCCCAUUUUCAGAUGAUACGGCUAUGUUCUGGGGUGUAAAAUUCUACAAUGAUUUGCUGAUGCAAGCUGGUAAACUUGGGAAUGUGCAAUCAGAACUACUUCUCCGCAAGGACUCCCAGACUUUCACCUUCGAAAAGGGAUGGGCCUUCCCACGCCGAGUGUACUUCAAUGGUGACAACUGUGUCAUGCCAUCUCCUGAAAACUAUCCAUGGUUGCCCAACGCAAGCCCUCUAACAAAACAACCGCUGACCCUCCCACUUUUAGUAUUCUGGGUUGUGUUGGCUACUCUGUUGGCAUAUGCAUGAUGAGUGGGAUCAGGAGGUUUAGUGAGCUUCAAGUUGAUGUCAGAUUCCAUGAGGUGCACUGCAACGGGUCAUUUGUUCAUUCAAUUACAUGGUUGCACAGAAGAGAUGACACCACGCAGAGAAAAAAAGUUUAUGUGUGUGUGUUUUUGUAAGUUAAAGGGCCGAAAUGUAUUUCUUGUUUCGUAUAUACUGGCCCCACAACACUUAGUUACUGCAAACUAGGUAAUUACAGUUGCACCUUUUGUAUUUUAUAGCAAACUCAGAAUUUUUCAUUGGAUUAUAUGACCUCUUCUUGUAGUAAAUGCGCGGUUUUCGUUUUGUAAGAUUUGUUGAACAGAAAAGACAAUGAUGAUUGAGAUCACUAAGUUCUGGCAUCUUAAUUCAUUCCUGCUGCUCACUGAGCUUUUUGAGCUAAAUAGAUAACAUCUACUAAUGGUCAUUUUCACUGAACCAAAAGAGCAAGAACACAGAACAAGAAUAAUUGCAACACUGGGUUUAUUUACUACAGAAACUGCAAACCGCAAUCAUGAAUUGGCGCUCAUGUUAAUUUGCAGCAUCAAUUAAGAUGAUCUAUGACUGUGAAUCGUAAAAUGACCUAUCAAUAAAAGGAUGAUGUAAAUCCUAGUUGGCCUGGGAACUCCUAGGAGCCUGCUUAGUUGCUGUGCCUUGUCACAUACCAAAUGCUUAGGAAGCAGUUCUGAGCCGCUGAGAAGAAUAGCAAAAGGAUAGUUUGCUGAUAGUUGUGGCUUGUGGGCUACUGCCUAGUUGAAGAAUGGCCUGACAGGACAGGUGCUAUAUAAUUGUGUACACAACAUAUAUCCUUGAUACUGAAGUUCUAACCAGGAGCUGGAAGCAACGGAAGUACAGAACUGCAGAUUCAAUAAUAGAUCUAACCAGAGCAAAGAGCAACACUCAAACUUAUAACAGAACCACAACAAUGAAAUAUUUUAAUACCUGCAAAAUACAUCUCAUAAUCUUAUGAGCAACAAACGAAUUCAUCGAAACAACUCACUUUAUAUUCGAUGCAGUUGGAUUGCUCUGAACCCACUCUGAAGAAACAUGGCCUUCUGUGAAGGAAACCAAAGCUUUUGGCUUGUGCCCAGCCUCAUCGUGCUAGUGCUCUGAAGCCUCAGAGAGUCAGAGAUCAGAGGAGGGCAUAUGCCACCAUGACCUGGUAUAUAUAUCCAG